UAGUGUUCAUAUAGUUAUAAUAAGCAAUCCUCUGGUUAUGUAUCAACUGUUAAUAAUUGUAGAUCUUAUGAAUGUGUCUGUGUUUGUCUGAUAGAUGUGUCUGUGUAAAAGAGAUCUAAAUCUUGGGUAAAAUUCAAAUGCCGUGUUAUGUUUCUCGUUUAUCUCUUUUUUAAAUGUCAAGAAUUCAUUUUUUUAUUCUUCUUCUAAAUACAGGAACAUGAGUUGAUUUUGGGCUUCAAAAACAAAACUUGCUAAUGAAUUUCCUCAUCUAAUCAUUUCAGUCUUUAUCUGUAAAACAAGUUCUUGUGAUGCUUAUAGUGGUUAAUUUUGAAAACUUUCAAGCACUUUUGUGGGUCAAAAACACAGAUUUUAGUUUUCUUUAGUGUUCAUAGAGUUAAUAUGCAAUCCUCUGGAUGUGUAAGAAUUAUAAUUCUUAUGAAUGUGUCUGUGUAAGAGAGAUUUAAAUCUUGGAUUAAAUUCAAAUGCUGUUAUGCUUCUUGUCUGUUUUUAUUUUUUUUAUUUUUAAGUGUCAAAAAUUCAAUUUAGCAAAUUCACUUCACUUUGAUUGCUCAAGUAUUGUCCUUGUACUAGUGUUUUAAUCUAUUUGUAACUUUGCUCAUUACCUAGACAAAGGAGAUACUAUAUAUCACCAAUUAUGCAUACUUUAUUUAAGUGCUAAUACAAUACAGCGGUAUGUGAGACCAUUCAAUCACUAGUUUGAUUAUUAUUGUUUUAUAUGGUAUCAGAGUUUACAAUGGCUACUGCCUCCUUUGUUUCACGCAAUCUGUUUUUUUCAGUUCUACCUCCACGAACCUACUGUUUCUUUUCCUCUCUCAAGUUCUGUUUUUUUUUCUUUGUUUUUUCACUAUAAAUUUUAAAACAGCUAUAGCAGAUUAUUUAGUUGCCUAUUAGACAAUUAUUCCAAGUCACUCAUAGGGCCUUCUCUGUCAUAGAACCUUUGAAGUGGUCUGAAAGUUAUCACUUUUUGUAACUUACCCUGCUCAAGGUUUAUAAAAAAGACCCAAAAGUGUGUCUUUACAUUGUAGAUGCACUUAAAAUGUUUCAAAAAUCUUGAAGGCUAGUUUGUGGAUAGGACCUCCACUUAUUAACAUGUGCAAUUCAUCUUUUAUUAACAUAUGGAUAUAAAUAUAUACAAGUCUCUAGAUCUAGUUGCUUUUGUAUGUAUAGCCUGUCAAUCUCUUUGUGCAGCAUUGGCGAGAUAACUGAUUUGAGAUGUCUCUUUGGUUAUCUGCUUUGCUCUUAGCCAAUUCUUGUCGACGUUGAGUUGAGUCAAAACAAUCUGGAAAUCAUUUCCUCAGGGAUAUGCAUAUGUUCAUGCAGUAAUGGUAUGAGAAGUUUCCAGAUCUCAAAUUCAGAGAUUUGUUUCUUACAUGAGAAAGCUGUGCAGGUUGGUUGGUGCUGUGACAGUGCAUUGAGGAAGUGGCUUUUUGAAUUUAUAGUUCUAUUAUGUUUGGUAAGUAUGAUUUCUUUUAUGUUUGCAGUUUGCAGUUUUUUUUAAUAUGCUGGUGGAUUUGGUUGCAGGGACUAAUCGGCGUCGGGGUCAUGUGACACU